rnacentral:rRNA from 1 species
AGCGGUGAAAUGCGUAKAGAUCUGGAGGAAUACCGGUGGCGAAGGCGGCCCCCUGGACAAAGACUGACGCUCAGGUGCGAAAGCGUGGGGAGCAAACAGGAUUAGAUACCCUGGUAGUCCACGCCGUAAACGAUGUCRACUUGGAGGUUGKGCCCUUGAGGCGUGGCUUCCGGAGCUAACGCGUUAAGUCGACCGCCUGGGGAGUACGGCCGCAAGGUKAAAACUCRAAUGARUUGACGGGGGCCCGCACAAGCGGUGGAGCAUGUGGUUUAAUUCGAUGCAASGCGAAGAACCUUACCUACUCUUGACAUCCAGAGAACUUAGCAGAGAUGCUUUGGUGCCUUCGGGAACUCUGAGACAGGUGCUGCAUGGCUGUCGUCAGCUCGUGUUGUGAAAUGUUGGGUUARGUCCCGCAACGAGCGCAACCCUUAUCCUUUGUUGCCAGCGGUUAGG